rnacentral:rRNA from 1 species
UCCUAGCCGUAAACGAUGGGCACUAGGUAGGGGAGGUUCCGAUGCCAUCCCUGCCGUAGGGAAACCGAUAAGUGCCCCGCCUGGGGAGUACGGCCGCAAGGCUAAAACUCAAAGGAAUUGACGGGGGCCCGCACAAGCGGUGGAGCACGUGGCUUAAUUCGAGGCAAACCGAAGAACCUUAUCCUGGGCUUGACAUGCUUUAAAUCCGAAAGGGGG